rnacentral:rRNA from 1 species
AACGAACGCUGGCGGCAUGCCUAACACAUGCAAGUCGAACGAGACCUCCGGGCCUAGUGGCGCACGGGUGCGUAACGCGUGGGAACCUGCCCUUAGGUUCGGAAUAACUCCCCGAAAGGGGUGCUAAUACCGGAUAAUGUCUUCGGACCAAAGAUUUAUCGCCUUUGGAUGGGCCCGCGUUGGAUUAGCUAGUUGGUAGGGUAAAAGCCUACCAAGGCGACGAUCCAUAGCUGGUCUGAGAGGAUGAUCAGCCACACUGGAGCUAAGACACGGCCCAGACUCCUACGGAAGGCAGCAGUGGAGAAUAUUGGACAAUGGGCGAAGGCCUGAUCCAGCAAUGCGGCGUGAGUGAGGAAGGCCUUAGGGUUGUAAAGCUCUUUUACCCGGGAUGAUAAUGACAGUACCGGGUGAAUAAGCUCCGGCUAACUCCGUG